GAAUAUUCGGCAAUGGGGGCAACCCUGACCGAGCAACGCCGCGUGGAGGAUGACGGUUUUUCGGAUUGUAAACUCCUUUUCUCAGGGAAGAGCGAGGACGGUACCUGAGGAAUAAGUCACGGCUAACUACGUGCCAGCAGCCGCGGUAAUACGUAGGUGGCAAGCGUUAUCCGGAAUUACUGGGCGUAAAGCGCACGCAGGUGGCUGCUUAAGUCUGACGUGAAAGCUCCUGGCUUAACUGGGAGAGGUCGUUGGAGACUGGGCGGCUUGAGGCGAGGAGAGGGGGUGUAGGAAUUCCCGGUGUAGUGGUGGAAUGCGUAGAGAUCGGGAGGAAUACCAGUGGCGAAAGCGGCACCCUGGCCUUGGCCUGACGCUCAGGUGCGAAGCGUGGGGAGCGAACGGGAUUAGAUACCCGGUAGUCCACGCGGUAAACGAUGAAUACUAGGUGUAGGUGGUCUCAAACUAUCUGUACCGCAGCUAACGCGAUAAGUAUU
rnacentral:rRNA from 1 species